CUUUCAGUUUCUUCUAUGCUGACUGUCGUGUGCUGCCUGUUGUGCCCUAAGACGGGGCACAUGGAACAAGUUACCCCAGCCCCCCCUGCUGCCUUUGAUAAUCGCAGCAGUGCACUAUUGCACUGCUGAGCUGGAAACAUGAAUGGUCCGAAAAGGGGGCGGAGCUACACAGCACUUUACUCAGUGCCAGGCCAGCCAGCACCAUCGAAGAGAGGAGGGGAGAGGAGCAGCAGCAGCACACACCAAAGCCUAAAUAGAGAGGCAUCUUGAACCUCUGACCUGCAAGACCAGGGAGGCACCAUAAAGUAGAGGUGAUGGUGGUUAUAUCUACUACUCUUGGCUCCUUACUCCAUUGUCCCAACCUGACUCUCCUGCUGAACACAAAUAUAAUAAUGAACAUAAGUCCACGCGGAAUGUGAUAGAAAGAUGUUUUGGGGUGCUGAAAUCUAGGUUUCGGUGUCUGGAUAAGUCUGCAGGGCUUUUGUAUAGUCCUUUAAAGGUGACUAGGAUUGUGUUCUGCUGCUGUUUUCUUCAUAACAUGUGUUUGCGGCAACAUCUGCCUGUCACAACUGAGGGCCUGAG